CAUUGGGGCGUGCUACCAUGCAGUCGUACGAGAAAGGGGCUUCGGCCCUGAGUAGAGUGGCGCACGGGUGAGUAACGCGUGGGUAAUCUACCCUUGGAUUUGGGAUAACUCUGCGAAAGUGGAGCUAAUACCGGAUAGUCUGGCUUUAAAUAAGAAGUCGGUAAAGGAUGCCUCUGCAUAUGCAUUCGUCCGAGGAUGAGCCCGCGUCUCAUUAGCUAGUUGGUAGGGUAAUGGCCUACCAAGGCAACGAUGAGUAGCUGGUCUGAGAGGAUGAUCAGCCACACUGGAACUGAAACACGGUCCAGACUCCUACGGGAGGCAGCAGUGGGGAAUAUUGCGCAAUGGGCGAAAGCCUGACGCAGCAACGCCGUGUGAGGGAUGAAGGCUUUCGGGUCGUAAACCUCUGUCGGAAGGGAAGAACGGGCAUUGGUCUAAUAGGCCUUUGUUUUGACGGUACCUUUAGAGGAAGCACCGGCUAACUCCGUGCCAGCAGCCGCGGUAAUACGGAGGGUGCAAGCGUUAUUCGGAAUUACUGGGCGUAAAGCGCACGUAGGCGGCCUUGUAAGUCAGGGGUGAAAUCCCACGGCUCAACCGUGGAACUGCCUUUGAAACUGCAGGGCUUGAAUCCUGGAGAGGGUGGCGGAAUUCCUGGUGUAGGAGUGAAAUCCGUAGAUAUCAGGAGGAACACCGGUGGCGAAGGCGGCCACCUGGACAGGUAUUGACGCUGAGGUGCGAAAGUGUGGGGAGCAAACAGGAUUAGAUACCCUGGUAGUCCACACCGUAAACGAUGGAUACUAGGUGUCGGGGACUUGAUCUUCGG
rnacentral:rRNA from 1 species